rnacentral:lncRNA from 1 species
GAAAGCAAGUAAAUCGAAGAAGAAAUGGUUCGGGAAAAAGCAUCCAGUACCAGAUUCUUCAACUUUGGUUGUUACUACUGUUUCUCCUCCUCAUCCUGUUCCUCCAGCAGAAGAGGUCAAGCUGGCUGAAGUGGAACAAGAGCAGACUAAACAUGUUUAUUCUGUUGCAGUUGCCACGGCAGCAGCAGCUGAAGCAGCUGUUGCAGCUGCCCAGGCUGCUGCGGAGGUUGUUCAGUUAACUACAGUUAAUCAGUUUUCUGGCGAAUCCAAGGAGGAAAUAGCAGCAAUCAGGAUUCAGACUGCAUUUCGAGGAUAUCUGGUAUGCAUCUGUACUCCUAUGCAUUCAAGUGAUUUUUCCAUUUCCGGGAAAGUUUCUUUCAGAUAUUUUAUGAUAAACUUGAUUCUCUCAGUUUAAAAAAAAUGCAAUAGAAGGCCAGGGGCGGAGCCACAAGCUUGCAUGGUUCCGUAGAACCCAGUAGCUUUGGCCCAAACCUUGUAUUUUUCUUCAAAACUAAUUUAAUAUAUUUAAAUAAUUUAUCCAGAUCCCAAUAAACUGCCCUUUCUGAAAUUCAGAACCCAUAAACUCAAAAUUCUAACUCUACCUCUGAGAAAGCUAUAUUGCUGUACUUGUGAGAACAUGUAAUAAAUGAUCUGGUACUGAGAUAUAACUUACCGUGGGGAUUUCUCAUUUGCAGGCCAGAAGGGCAUUGAGGGCUUUAAGAGGACUUGUGAGACUCAAAACACUAGUUGAUGGACCUACUGUCAAACAGCAAACUGCAAAUACUUUGAAAUGUAUGCAGACUCUAUCACGCGCC